rnacentral:rRNA from 1 species
GGACGGGUGAGUAAUGCCUAGGAAUCUGCCUGGNAGUGGGGGACAACGUUUCGAAAGGAACGCUAAUACCGCAUACGUCCUACGGGAGAAAGCAGGGGACCUUCGGGCCUUGCGCUAUCAGAUGAGCCUAGGUCGGAUUAGCUAGUUGGUGGGGUAACGGCUCACCAAGGCGACGAUCCGUAGCUGGUUUGAGAGGACGACCAGCCACACUGGGACUGAGACACGGCCCAGACUCCUACGGGAGGCAGCAGUGGGGAAUUUUGGACAAUGGGGGAAACCCUGAUCCAGCCAUCCCGCGUGUGCGAUGAAGGCCUUCGGGUUGUAAAGCACUUUUGGCAGGAAAGAAACGUCGCGGGUUAAUACCCCGCGGAACUGACGGUACCUGCAGAAUAAGCACCGGCUAACUCUGUGCCAGCAGCCGCGGUAAUACAGAGGGUGCAAGCGUUAAUCGGAAUUACUGGGCGUAAAGCGCGCGUAGGUGGUUCGUUAAGUUGGAUGUGAAAGCCCCGGGCUCAACCUGGGAACUGCAUCCAAAACUGGCGAGCUAGAGUACGGUAGAGGGUGGUGGAAUUUCCUGUGUAGCGGUGAAAUGCGUAGAUAUAGGAAGGAACACCAGUGGCGAAGGCGACCACCUGGACUGAUACUGACACUGAGGUGCGA